GGUCUCUGCGGUGUAGUGGUAGCACGCGUCUCCUGUAUAGAGAAGCGCGGGUUCAACUCCAGCGAGAGGUCG